GACGAACGCUGGCGGCGUGCCUAAUACAUGCAAGUCGAGCGGACGAAUCGAAAGCUUGCUUUUGAUUCGUUAGCGGCGGACGGGUGAGUAACACGUGGGCAACCUGCCCUGUAGACGGGGAUAACACCGAGAAAUCGGUGCUAAUACCGGAUAACACGAAAUGUCGCAUGACGUUUCGUUGAAAGACGGCGCAAGCUGCCGCUACAGGAUGGGCCCGCGGCGCAUUAGCUAGUUGGUGAGGUAACGGCUCACCAAGGCGACGAUACGUAGCCGACCUGAGAGGGUGAUCGGCCACACUGGGACUGAGACACGGCCCAGACUCCUACGGGAGGCAGCAGUAGGGAAUCUUCCGCAAUGGACGAAAGUCUGACGGAGCAACGCCGCGUGAGCGAAGAAGGCCUUCGGGUCGUAAAGCUCUGUUGUUAGGGAAGAACAAGUAACGCAGUAACUGGCGUUACCGUGACGGUACCUAACGAGAAAGCCACGGCUAGCUACGUG
rnacentral:rRNA from 1 species